rnacentral:rRNA from 1 species
UACGUAGGGGGCAAGCGUUGUCCGGAAUCAUUGGGCGUAAAGAGCGUGUAGGCGGCUUGGUAAGUCCGCUGUGAAAGUCCAGGGCUCAACCCUGGAAAGCCAGUGGAAACUGUCAAGCUAGAGUCCGGAAGAGGCGAGUGGAACUCCUGGUGUAGCGGUGAAAUGCGCAGAUAUCAGGAAGAACACCAAUGGCGAAGGCAGCUCGCUGGGACGGUACUGACGCUGAGACGCGAAAGCGUGGGGAGCAAACAGG